CCUACGGGAGGCAGCAGUGGGGAAUAUUGCACAAUGGGGGAAACCCUGAUGCAGCAACGCCGCGUGAGUGAAGAAGUAUUUCGGUAUGUAAAGCUCUAUCAGCAGGGAAGAGAAUGAAGGUACCUGACUAAGAAGCCCCGGCUAACUACGGGCCAGCAGCCGCGGUAAUACGUAGGGGGCCAGCGUUAUCCGGAUUUACUGGGUGUAAAGGGAGCGUAGACGGGUGUAUAAGUCUGAAGUGAAAGCCCGUGGCUCAACCGAGGAACUGCAAUGGAAACUGUUAAGCUGGAGUGCUGGAGAGGCAGGCGGAAUUCCUAGUGUAGCGGUGAAAUGCGUAGAUAUUAGGAGGAACACCAGUGGCGAAGGCGGCCGGCUGGGCUAUAACUGACGCUGAGGCUCGAAAGUGUGGGGAGCAAACAGGAUUAGAUACCCUUGUAGUC
rnacentral:rRNA from 1 species